CUUUGAUAAGAUUUUAUAUGAUAUUAUGUUUAUUUAUAAAGUAAUGAUAGAAAAUAGAAAUGUAUUAAAUGGCUAUGCAUAAAAUAAGAUAAGUUUUACUGUAUAUUCUCCCUGGAUAUCAGUUAUAAUUGUAUGUAACAGGGAUACUUGAUGGAAUGCUGUACAUUAAGUAAUUUGUUAAAACAGCAAAGAGUGCAAUAAAGAAUUUAUGA
rnacentral:lncRNA from 1 species